rnacentral:rRNA from 1 species
GACAGAGGUCCCGAGCGUUAGGCGGAAUCACUGGGCUUAAAGCGUGUGUAGGCGGAUUUGUAAGUACCUUGUGAAAUCCCACGGCUCAACCGUGGAACUGCUUGGUAUACUGCUUAUCUUGGGCCAGCUAGGGGCUACCGGAACAAGUGGUGGAGCGGUGAAAUGCGCAGAUAUCAGGAGGAACACCGGUGGCGAAGGCGGGUCUCUGGGCCGAUAUUGACGCUGAGGAGCGAAAGCGUGGGGAGCGAACAGG